AACGAACGCUGGCGGCAUGCCUAACACAUGCAAGUCGAACGAGACCUUCGGGUCUAGUGGCGCACGGGUGCGUAACGCGUGGGAACCUGCCCUUAGGUUCGGAAUACCUCCCCGAAAGGGGUGCUAAUACCGGAUAAUGUCUUCGGACCAAAGAUUUAUCGCCGUUGGAUGUGCCCGCGUUGGAUUAGCUAGUUGGUAGGGUAAAAGCCUACCAAGGCGACGAUCAAUAGCUGGUCUGAGAGGAUGAUCAGCCACACUGGGACUGAGACACGGCCCAGACUCCUACGGGAGGCAGCAGUGGGGAAUAUUGGACAAUGGGCGAAAGCCUGAUCCAGCAAUGCCGCGUGAGUGAUGAAGGCCUUAGGGUUGUAAAGCUCUUUUACCCGGGAUGAUAAUGACAGUACCGGGAGAAUAAGCCCCGGCUAACUCCGUG
rnacentral:rRNA from 1 species